rnacentral:rRNA from 1 species
AGCGAACGCUGGCGGCAGGCCUAACACAUGCAAGUCGAACGAACUCUUCGGAGUUAGUGGCGGACGGGUGAGUAACACGUGGGAACGUGCCUUUUGGUUCGGAAUAACUCAGGGAAACUUGUGCUAAUACCGAAUGUGCCCUUCGGGGGAAAGAUUUAUCGCCAUUAGAGCGGCCCGCGUCUGAUUAGCUAGUUGGUGAGGUAACGGCUCACCAAGGCGACGAUCAGUAGCUGGUCUGAGAGGAUGACCAGCCACACUGGGACUGAGACACGGCCCAGACUCCUACGGGAGGCAGCAGUGGGGAAUCUUGCGCAAUGGGCGAAAGCCUGACGCAGCCAUGCCGCGUGAAUGAUGAAGGUCUUAGGAUUGUAAAAUUCUUUCACCGGGGACGAUAAUGACGGUACCCGGAGAUGAAGCCCCGGCUAACUUCGUG